UACGAGGGGGGCAAAUGUUGUUCGGAAUCACUGGGCGUAAAGGGAGCGUAGGCGGGCUUUUAAGUUAGGUGUUUAAUCCCGGGGCCCAACCCCGGACAGGCACCUAAAACUGGGAGUCUUGAAUAGUGGAGAGGUCGGCGGAAUUGGGGGUGUAGCGGUGGAAUGCGUAGAGAUCCCGAAGAACACCAGUUGCGAAGGCGGCCGACUGGACACAUAUUGACGCUGAGGCUCGAAAGCAUGGGGAGCAAACAGG
rnacentral:rRNA from 1 species